rnacentral:piRNA from 5 species
UGGGCCCAUAACCCAGAGGUCGAUGG